AGACUUUGAUACUGGCUCAGAACGAACGCUGGCGGCAGGCCUAACACAUGCAAGUCGAGCGCACCCUUCGGGGUGAGCGGCGGACGGGUGAGUAACGCGUGGGAACGUACCCUUUGCUACGGAAUAGCCACUGGAAACGGUGAGUAAUACCGUAUGAGCCCUUCGGGGGAAAGAUUUAUCGGCAAGGGAUCGGCCCGCGUUGGAUUAGGUAGUUGGUAGGGUAAAAGCCUACCAAGCCGACGACGGGUAGCCGAUGUGAGAGCAUGAUCGGCCACAAGGGAACUGAGACACGGAUCCUACUCCUACGGGAGGCAGCAGUGGGGAAUAUUGGACAAUGGGGGAAACCCUGAUCCAGCCAUGCCGCGUGAGUGAAGAAGGCCUUAGGGUUGUAAAGCUCUUUCGGUGGUGACGAUGAUGACGGUAGCCACAGAAGAAGCCCCGGCUAACUCCGUGCCAGCAGCCCGCGGUAAUACCGGAGGGGGCAAGCGUUGUUCGGAAUUACUUGGGCGUAAAGGGCGCGUAGGCCGGAUGAUCAAGUCAAAAGGUGAAAGCCC
rnacentral:rRNA from 1 species